UGUCGAAGCAGUCGGUCGUGUUAAGGAUCACAUUGAGAGAGGGAAUCUUGACUUAUGCUCAUUGAAAUUCCGUAUCCUUGACGAAGCUGAUGAAAUGUUGAGGCAAGUCAAAGGGAUAUGGAUGGACAAAGAUAGUGUUGAUAACUGACCCGUAUUGGAAAAUUAUCCUUUUUGAUCAAUGUGUAGGCCG